rnacentral:lncRNA from 1 species
UAUUAGCUUUCUUGUUAAAAUUCUUUUUUUUGAUUUCUUGUCUAAUCUCUUAUAUAAUAUGUCUAUGAUAUAUACUACAUUGUUAAUUUGUACUACAAGCUUUUUAAAUAUGCGACACAUAGCUAAUUUUUGGACUAAGUUUGUAACCUAUCAAUCAAUUAUAAAUAUGUAUAAAGUCAAAUAAACAACUAUAAAUCUUUUAAGAAGCUUCACUACAAGAUAAUAUUAAAUCUAUUUAUAUUUAUUUUUUACUUGAUACUUUCUAUCUAGGUAAGUAUAUAUAUUUGUUAUAUCUUCAUCACUAUUCUUUUUGUUUAUAGUUUCUACUUCUUUUGUUUUUAGUCCUUAUUCUAUCUAUUCUCAUGCCUCAUUCUUUUCAUAUUUAUUCUUUUUUCUU